UGGGGAAUUUUGGACAAUGGGCGAAAGCCUGAUCCAGCAAUGCCGCGUGUGUGAAGAAGGCCUUCGGGUUGUAAAGCACUUUUGUCCGGAAAGAAAUCCUUGGCUCUAAUACAGUCGGGGGAUGACGGUACCGGAAGAAUAAGCACCGGCUAACUACGUGCCAGCAGCCGCGGUAAUACGUAGGGUGCAAGCGUUAAUCGGAAUUACUGGGCGUAAAGCGUGCGCAGGCGGUUUGCUAAGACCGAUGUGAAAUCCCCGGGCUCAACCUGGGAACUGCAUUGGUGACUGGCAGGCUAGAGUAUGGCAGAGGGGGGUAGAAUUCCACGUGUAGCAGUGAAAUGCGUAGAGAUGUGGAGGAAUACCGAUGGCGAAGGCAGCCCCCUGGGCCAAUACUGACGCUCAUGCACGAAAGCGUGGGGGAGCAAAACAGGAUUAGAUACCCUGGUAGUCCACGCCCUAAACGAUGUCAACUAGUUGUUGGGGAUUCAUUUCCUUAGUAACGUAGCUAACGCGUGAAGUUGACCGCCUGGGGAGUACGGUCGCAAGAUUAAAACUCAAAGGAAUUGACGGGGUC
rnacentral:rRNA from 1 species